rnacentral:rRNA from 1 species
GACGAACGCUGGCGGCGUGCUUAACACAUGCAAGUCGAACGGAAAGGCCCUGCUUUUGUGGGGUGCUCGAGUGGCGAACGGGUGAGUAACACGUGAGUAACCUGCCCUCGACUUUGGGAUAACUUCAGGAAACUGGGGCUAAUACCGGAUAGGAGCUCCUGCUGCAUGGUGGGGGUUGGAAAGUUUCGGCGGUUGGGGAUGGACUCGCGGCUUAUCAGCUUGUUGGUGGGGUAGUGGCUUACCAAGGAUUUGACGGGUAGCCGGCCUGAGAGGGUGACCGGCCACAUUGGGACUGAGAUACGGCCCAGACUCCUACGGGAGGCAGCAGUGGGGAAUAUUGCACAAUGGGCGGAAGCCUGAUGCAGCAACGCCGCGUGCGGGAUGACGGCCUUCGGGUUGUAAACCGCUUUCGCCUGUGACGAAGCGUGAGUGACGGUAAUGGGUAAAGAAGCACCGGCUAACUACGUG